UCUUUCGAAUUACUGUGGUGGUAACACGUACACCUUUUAUAUGGUCUGGUUCCCGCGGUGGUUCUUCCGUGUGCAGCAGGGCGCUGCGUAGCUAUUUAGACUAAUGUGUUUUUCUUUCCGGUGCUUUGGUGGUCGGCUGUGCUGGUAAAUCACUUGGGUGGAGGUAGCCAAAAGAUGGGUGGAGCGGUGCUGGGCCAACCGUGGGCAGUAGCUGUCGGUUCCAUGAGAAUUGGUCAAAACGGUGGCUCCUCCCGUGGAAUAAUCGAGAUGGCCCAUCCUAUUCUUCUCUCCCCAAUCUCCACCAUGUCUUGUAUCUUCCAAUGAAUAUCUCCACACAAUUUCUAGAACUUGAGUGGAGGUCGCCGGCGAUGAGUCGUCCAGCCAUGUUCAUCCCGGACUUGGCCGCCCCUCCCGCUCCAUGCUCGAGUUCCCUCCUCGAUGCAGCAACUCAUCCUUCCGACGAACAGCUGCCGCCAUGCUCCCCGCCGCCUCUGGCCGGCGCGGCUCCCCAAGUACGAGUAUGCCUUGCUCCUGUCUCCGGCCACUUCUCGCAGGCGGGAGCCUCACCAGCACACCGCUCAGCCCCUUCUCCACUCGUUUGACGCCAUCUGCGCGCGGAUGCACCGCCGCCGUCUCCGGGCUCUACCUCCGCGUCCAUGCAAAAAAUUGUGCUGCCAUGUAGUUCCAGCUGCUGGAUAUGGUUCACCCUCGAGUGGUGCAGAUACACAGGUUAUUAAGAGAGUUUUGAUGUCUCACGUUGGGUUUAGAGUUCAGUGCCUUAGAUCACCAUGAUGCCUAUUUCUGGGGUGUUCUGUACGUGGUCUUGAUGCAAAGACAGAGAACAAUAUGGUCCGUAACUACAAGGUUCUCUAGGAUGUCUUCAACAAGCUGGAGACAAGAAAGGUACCUGCGUUAGGCCUUUCCAUUUUUCCUAUGGUCCAUGAAUUUCUCAUGAUUUAGUCUUGCAGUCGUUGUGUAUGCAUCUAUUGUGUUGAGAUUCAACCUAGAACAUAUUCCUGAUGUUAGUACAUGGUAAUGGUCAGAUAAUCAUCUGACAGUGCAGAUUGACUAUGUACAACUAUCCAUGUUGUAGAUUGGUUCAUAAUAAUUUUGGAGAACAGAGAUUUGUUCUAAUGCUUUCAAGUUGUGCUCUCUAUUCCUGAUUCCGAUGUUGGAAGCGUUGCAACCAUCUUCACUAUAAGAGGCUUUUCCCCAUUUUUUGUCGGGUCUGUUAUCUAUUUCUGUAUUGAUUAUCACAGAUGGAGCUUCUGAUGAUAGAUCAUAUGAUAGGUUCUGCAAUCUCCCAACAGCGAAAGAUUAUAUCACUGAAGAUAUCUUUUCACAGUCAUCAAAAGUAGUAUAUGUGUAUGUUUUUCUUCGCUUCUAUAGCACACCUCUUCUAGCAUAGGACAUAGUUGUUGAAGUGAAUUGCUCCAAAAAAAAAAUCCAUAUGAGGAGAUUUCGUUCCUGUAGGUCCGUGCACCAAAGCUGGAGAUGCUAACGAAUUGCUUCUGUGGCACCGCCAUAUUCUUAUUCAUAUAUUUGUGUACUAGAACUGCUAAUUACCAUAGAUUUUACUGUGUGACAAAGUUACUUAAUCAUCUCUAUAGAGGUCCGUCAGAUUGAGAGAUGAGACCACCAAAACCAUAGCAGUAUUUCCCUGUAAAAAGCCAUUAAUCAUCCCUAUAAAGACCAUUUUGACUAAAAUAUGAGAUCACCAAAAAUUCCUAUGCAUUAUCUGUUCUACACCAAUUUUCUGAAUUGGCAGCAAUAGAUUAUCCAAGAGGACAUUAUUUGAAUUUUUUUUACCUUAUUUCCUCAUGGAUAUUGCUCAUAUAGGUAUAAUAUUAACAUCAAUAUUUUCCAAUGCACAUAUUGCUCAUAUAGACUCAUGUGCCUCCGGAAUUGUGACCCCAGCAGGAGAUUGUAUAGUCGCUGAAUAGUCGCCGAGUCGUUUUCCAAAAAUCACGGCGUCUCGCGACUAUACAUCGACUUAUGGCAACUAUACAACUUUUCUGGUCGACUAUACAUGAGUCGCAGCCUCGGGCAACUCACUUUUGAGUCGCCACUCAAAAACCAUGUGCCAAACAGAUCUACAUGUUAUGUCAACCAUUUUGUUGCAGAAUUUUACUAUUUCAAUCCUAGCAUGCAGUAUGAUCUGUGGGUAGAGCUUAGUAGGCAGUCUCUUAAUAUUUGUGACAGCAUAGCCUUUUUAAUAUAGAUUUUUUAAUAUUUGUGAUAGCAUAGCCUUUUUAAUAUAGAUUUUGGUGAUAAUGUAUUUCAGAGAGCCCUUUUGUAGAAGGAUAGAACUGAUAUCUAAGCAACUCAUAUAUUUUUAGAGUCCAGUGAAGAGUGCUUCUCUUCCUAGAUUUCCCUGCCGAGCAAUGGUCAUGAUUUCACCACAAAGCUGAACUUCUAGGCGUGAUAAGGUACCGCCCUAGGAAGGCUACAGGGGUUACAAACAGAUCAUUCAGCGAACUGCUCUCGGGACAUCUUACUUCCUUAAAAAUGAUUGCUUGAAGAUAUAUUGCACUCUAGGUAUUGUUGUGUCAACUAUUGAUUACUCCAGGCCACACUCCAUUCAGGUACCAGACUUCAACAUUACCUACCGGUAAGGCAUCAUCAUUUAGCGUUGGCAGGGAGCGCCAUAUAUGUUUAAGUGCAGUUGCUCUCAAAAAAUCCAUAUAUGUUCAAGUGAAGAUCCUCUCAAAAAAAUUAGUAGGUAUAUAUAGUGCCCGUAUGCUAUUCUUAUGUUUUAGUCUGGCAUGUAAGUGGAUCCAGAAUUAGAGCAGACUGCAAUCUAUGUGUGGUUUAUUAUAUGUGUAGCGUUGGAUGUUUGUAGUUCAUAGUCUUGAUCAGAUUUCACAAUUAAUUAUUCUUACAUGCUAUGAAAUUUGAAAUCUAACUGUGUUAUAUCAAAUCCAAGGACCAAUGCAGUAUGCGGAAGAAAAGAAUCAUGCAUCAGUUGACCUUGGUACUAAGCACCAACAGGUAGAGAGAGGUAACCCAAUCAGGAAGAAAAGAAUCAUGCCGAUUUGCAAACGAAUCAUGCAUCAGUUGAGCUUAGUACUAAACACAUAAAGUAAAUUUUGUACAUGCCGGUUUGCAAAAGUAUAAAGGAAACACAUGCAGUAAAUUUUGUACAUGCCAGUUUGCAAAAGUUUUAGUACUGAUGGUAACCCAAUCUGGCCUAUUUUGUUCUCUUAAGCAAUUAGAGAGCUUGGAAGCACAUCUAGCUAGCUUAGGUUUCCACGAAAAUGAUUCAGUCACCGUGGGUAUUAAUUCCAGUGGAGGGUUCCCUUUGUGCAUCAUUAUAUCACAUAUAAGUUAUGCAUUGCGUCUAUACAAUCUCCUGCUGGAUGCCACUGAAUUGUUUUCAUGCAUUAUCAUUUUCUAACAUGAUUUGGCAUGGUACAAGACACUUCUUUCCCUAACGGUAAAACAAUAGUGUGAAUGUCAUUGUUUCAGUUGUAGGUGAGGCAUUGCACGACUUGAUCCUUUAUCACCUUGGUUAUGUAUAUUUUCUCUUUUGUUUCUCCUUUCUUCAUACUUUUCCUCUUCUCUAUUUAUUUAUCAAAUCAAGUUGUUUCAGUUCUUGACUUUCAUUUAGAUUAAGCAAGAUACAUCUUCUCACCGCAUUGUCUAGCUUGUGAUUUUGAUUUAUGAGUAUCGAUGCUAAAACUGUUGGAAGAAUAAUCAUGCAAACGUCCAUGCUGAAAGAUUUCUCAGCUCCAUGAUACCAAUAAUGUGUUGUUUGCAUGAAUACAUGGUUCAAACAACUCAACAACAGCCAUACGAGCUAGAUAUUAUUGUCGAUGACCAAGAGGCAUCUUCUGAAAACUAGACACUUGGCUUGUUUACUGUCAAAAACAAUAUGUAACCAUCUACAUCUUCACUUGGUUAUUUAUAAUAAUUCAGCUUUAUGCAUCCUACUUUCUGUGCCAUGCUAUCAUAAUAAAAUAAGCUAACUUUAUCCUCAUUUUAUUAUAGGCAUGCAACGCUCUAUCCAUGUCCAAACAGAGGCCAAGUUAAUAACGUCAUAUGCCUCCGCACUACACUUCCGAAUUGUAUUUCUACAUUGUUUCUAGAUACCCUAUUUCCAUGAAAUGGUUGGGGCCUUGAUUUGAAUAGGCGAGCUCAUGCUAGAGACCAAAGAAAAAAAGCACAUAUCAGGCAUACCCCUGAGGAGUCGGUCCAGUUUAAACUUAGAUACCAAAGCCAUGCAAGCCGUCUAUGCUUCCUACCAGAAAGAAGUAGACACGGAAGGAAGGAGAGCGUCGUCUCGACUGGAUAGAUGUCAGCUGCCCAAAUGAUGCCGAAGCCGAGCCUUCCUCAAGGAGGUCACAUGUGGUGAUGUUCCUUAACAUAAUAGGCAAAUGCAUGGAAAUCAUCGUCCUAUCCCUUGAUUGCAAGGACAACUUGACAAGUACUCAUGGUUUUGCAAGUAGAAAGAAUCAAAUAAUCAUCCCGGCAUGGUGUUCUACUGUGUUUUUAGGCUCUGGCUAUUAUCAAAUGUGUGUCAUGUUUUAUAUUUAAUUGUAUUGUUCCAUCUAUGCUCAAUGGUGUAAUGAAAAUUAUGACGAUAUACAAACAUAUCAGCUAAUCUGCACAUUAAUACA